GAUGAAGAACGCAGCGAAAUGCGAUAAGUAAUGUGAAUUGCAGAAUUCAGUGAAUCAUCGAAUCUUUGAACGCACCUUGCGCUCUUUGGUAUUCCGAAGAGCAUGCCUGUUUGAGUGUCAUGAAAAUAUCAACCUUGACUUGGGUUUUGUGCUCUAAUCUCGGCUUGGAAUUGGGUGCUUGCCGCUUUUACGAGCGGCUCACCUUAAAUGUAUUAGCUGGAUCUGUCUUUGAGACUUGGUUUGACUUGGCGUAAUAAGUAUUUCGCUAAGGACAUUCUUCGGAGUGGCCUCGUUUCUAGGACGCUUGUCCGCUUUCCAAUACAAGUUCCACCUCGUGGACAUGACUUUUUAUUAUCUGGCCUCAAAUCAGGUAGGACUACCCGCUGAACUUAAGCAUAUCAAUAAGCGGAGGA
rnacentral:misc_RNA from 1 species